rnacentral:rRNA from 1 species
AUGGCAGAAGCUGACAUCACGCGGUACUGGUGCCAUGAAUGUCAGCAGGCCGUCGAGGAGGCCAUGGUGGAGGAGCUCAAGUGUCCAUUGUGUGAUGGUGGGUUCGUCGAAGAGAUGACCGUUGAGCAGGUUGAGGCAUUGACAGAGCAAGGGGCAACUCAGUGGGACCCUCUGGACAACCCUUUUGAGCAGGCAGGAUCGCCGGGGGACAGCGAUGAUGAAGAUAAUAGUGAUAUAGGCCGUGAGUUUGAGGGUUUCAUCAGAAGGCAUCGACGGGCAUCGGCACUGCGCCGUGUGCUUGACAGCAUCCAUGAUGACCUUAGAGAUGACAGGGAAAGGGACAACUCCGUUCUGAUCAGUGCUUUCAACCAGGCCCUCGCUCUACAAGGUGCAGCGCUUGACCCUGACGAGGACCGAGGUGACCAUGGUAACGCAAAUAAUGAUGAUGGUUUGCUAGAUGAGUAUGUCCUCGGGGCAGGGCUUAGUCUGCUUCUUCAACAUUUGGCUGAGAAUGACCCGAGCCGGUAUGGUACUCCUCCAACGAAGAAAGAAGCAGUCGAAGCCCUGCCCACGGUCAAAAUCGAAGAGGUUGUCAGCUGUUCAGUCUGUCUUGAUGAUCUUGAUAUAGGGUCCCAGGCUAAGCAGUUGCCUUGUGAACAUAAGUUCCACUCACCAUGUAUCCUGCCAUGGCUUGAACUCCAUAGUUCCUGCCCAGUUUGCCGGUUUGAGCUGCCAUCUGAUGAGACAAAAGACUUGAGCGAGCCUAGCAACGUUGAUCGAAUAGAGAGCAGCCAUGAGGAGGCAAGAGCUGAUGGCCCUGGAAACAAUGGUGAGGACAGUAACACAAACGACAGGGAGGACAGUAACAGACCUUGGGCCCUUGUUCCUUGGUUUAAUGGCCUAUUCUCGACACCUGAGCCGCAAACUGUCAGAGCUACUUUGACUGAUCAGCAGCUGCCUCCUGCUUCUGGAACCAACCCAAAUGCAGGGCAUAGUUGA